rnacentral:rRNA from 1 species
GACGAACGCUGGCGGCGUGCUUAACACAUGCAAGUCGAACGAUGAAGGAGAGCUUGCUCUCCGGAUUAGUGGCGAACGGGUGAGUAACACGUGACUAACCUGCCCCUUUCUCUGGGAUAACGCUCCGAAAGGAGUGCUAAUACCGGAUACGAACUCUGAACACAUGUUCGGAGUUGGAAAGUUUUUCGGAAAGGGAUGGAGUCGCGGCCUAUCAGCUUGUUGGUGAGGUAACGGCUCACCAAGGCGACGACGGGUAGCCGGCCUGAGAGGGCGACCGGGCACGCUGGGGCUGAGACACGGCCCAGACUCCUACGGGAGGCAGCAGUGGGGAAUAUUGCACAAUGGGCGAAAGCCUGAUGCAGCGACGGCGCGUGAGGGAUGAAGGUCUUCGGAUUGUAAACCUCUUUCAGUAGGGACGAAGCGAAAGUGACGGUACCUAAAGAAGAAGCACCGGCUAACUACGUGCCAGCCGCCGCAGUAA